rnacentral:tmRNA from 2 species
GGGCUUUCGCCGCGCGGAUUUAUCCCUAUAUUGGGAGGGCCGGUUCGCCGGCUAUGGAAAUAAAUGGCCGUCGCAAUAAACCGUUCGGACCCGGGGGCAGCACCCGGCGCCUCCACCAAAGCCCGAUCCGCGCAGGACGGGUUUCGGCGGGGGCGAAACAGGAUCGACGAAGGCGUAAAGGGCGUGUUUUUUCUCGGUAUGGUUCCGCCGAUAUCGGGCCAUGCAAUAGUUGCAAACGACAACUAUGCUCCGGUUGCUCAGGCUGCGUAACGCAGUUUGAAAGACCAUCUUAAAGUCCUAGCGGGUUAAGCUCCGCUAGGCGGGGUCCGGAGGCACCUGGCAACAGAAGCCUCCACU